rnacentral:ncRNA from 1 species
CACACGAACAGGCAACCCCGUCGCAAGGCGGUGACGCAAAGCCAACGGGACCCACGCGGUCGGCCGGGCUACCGAA